rnacentral:rRNA from 1 species
CCUACGGGUGGCUGCAGUGGGGAAUCUUGGACAAUGGGGGCAACCCUGAUCCAGCAAUGCCGCGUGUGGGAUGAAGGCCUUCGGGUUGUAAACCACUUUUGGCGGGGGCGAAAUAUCGAGUGCUAAUACCAUUCGGUGAUGACGGUACCCGCAGAAUAAGCACCGGCUAACUACGUGCCAGCAGCCGCGGUAAUACGUAGGGUGCAAGCGUUAAUCGGAAUUACUGGGCGUAGUUAGGGCGCAGGCGGGUGAAAUGCCCGGGCUCAACCUGGGAACUGCAUUUGUGACUGCCUGACUAGAGUGCGGCAGAGGGGAGUGGAAUUCCGCGUGUAGCAGUGAAAUGCGUAGAGAUGCGGAGGAACACCGAUGGCGAAGGCAACUCCCUGGGCCUGCACUGACGCUCAUGCACGAAAGCGUGGGGAGCAAACAGGAUUAGAUACCCGUGUAGUC